rnacentral:tRNA from 1 species
AGUAAAAUGCCUGAUUAAAGGGCUAUCUUGAUAGGAUAAAAUAUGUAUAAUUUAUACUUUUACUA